rnacentral:rRNA from 1 species
UACGUAGGUGGCAAGCGUUGUCCGGAUUUACUGGGCGUAAAGAGCGCGCAGGCGGUUGUGCAAGUCGGGUGUGAAAGCCCCCGGCUCAACUGGGGAGGGUCACGCGAUACUGUUCGACUUGAAGGCAGGAGAGGGAAGUGGAAUUCCCGGUGUAGUGGUGAAAUGCGUAGAUAUCGGGAGGAACACCAGUGGCGAAGGCGACUUCCUGGCCUGUUCUUGACGCUGAGGCGCGAAAGCUAGGGUAGCAAACGGG